GUUUCCUGAGGUGAACCUGCGGAAGGAUCAU
rnacentral:rRNA from 1 species